rnacentral:rRNA from 1 species
CACGUAGGGUGCGAGCGUUUGUCCGGAAUUAUUGGGCGUAAAGAGCUCGUAGGCGGUGUGUCGCGUCGGCCGUGAAAACCUGCAGCUUAACUGUGGGCUUGCGGUCGAUACGGGCAUCACUGGAGUUCGGCAGGGGAGAUCGGAAUUCCUGGUGUAGCGGUGGAAUGCGCAGAUAUCAGGAGGAACACCGGUGGCGAAGGCGGAUCUCUGGGCCUUACCUGACGCUGAGGAGCGAAAGCGUGGGGAGCGAACAGG